CUGUUAGCGUGGGUGUGUACUCUAUUAAAACAAGGCUCAGGCUACUCCGGGUGACUCAUUGUGAGGCUAGCUUUUCCAUGGUGAAAAACAAAACGGGCUUUUCAUCAGAUGAACUUUCGGGAAUUUCGUUUAUACAAGAAACAUGGCUUCAAACAUUAUCUGUGCGCUUUGUGGACUUGUCAUUGCGACUGUAGCGAACCUAAACGGCGCGAACGGGCAACAAAACCUAUGCAGUAGUUCAGAGUUCUGGAGUUCGGACAUAGACCAAUGCGUAUCCUGCUCAUCGUGCAAGCAGUAUCCAAAGACCCCUUCGUGUAACACUUGCACAUUUACCAAGGAAAGAUCUGAUGUCUGGAGACUGGCAGCCAUUUCCAGCUUCUCUGUGCUGGCAGUUAUUCUGGUCGCUGCAGUAUUGAUCAUUGGAGUCAUGGUGCAUCGACGCAAGGCACAGAAGAGGCCCCUCCGUGAACCCAUUGAAGAGACAACGGGACCUCUUUACCAAGCGUAAACAUUUCACCUCAUCUUCCUUCUGACAUUGAUGUGACAGAACCAAGGGAACAUCUUUGGAUGACCAACCGAAACAGAAUCAUUUUUGUACAAUGGAUAAUACUCUGACCACAGGGUAUUAUUUGAGUGGAGUUUGACCAUUUAAUUUAUUAUACUGUUAGUAAAGAUGUGUUCACAUACACUCAGUGUGUUACGGAACGGAGCUCUCACAUAGAACUGUGUUAACAAGCGCUGUCAAUCCCCUACCUUGUCUGCAGUCAGACUGUACUCUGAGUAAGACAAUGUAGUUAGUAAAGAGUAUCUCUCACAGCUCUUUUUGAAAUGAUGGCCUUUGAGUAGUGAUGCUAGGUUGAGCUUGUCGAGAUAUUCCAAUAAUCUAUCUAUCGAUAAGUUGUUCAAUCAAUAAGUAGUUUAAAAAACAGUAGUGAACAUGAGACACAUCUUGAUUGUUGUGGAUUUCCAACCAUUUCUGUCAAUGCUUGAACACCUAUUGUUUUAUUGUAGCUUAUUAGGACGAAUAGCAACGACCGAACUGCCUCGACUUGCCAUCAGCAGGAUAAAAGUGAAUACAGCACAAUCGUGCUUCUUGGGCCAGGUUUCACAUACUGUACUUCUAUAAGAGUAACGUUUCUAUUUAACAUCCUCGUGAUAAUGAAAAGUAAAAGGGAAAUGUUAGAUUAUAAAUUCAUGUUGGGCACAUUUUGGCAAUUUGAAUGUACUUUUAGGGCAAUUUAUCCAGUCUGUGUUUCCAUGUAGGAACUAUAUGCACUUAGAGCUACUUAGAGCUAGUUGUUUUUUAACUCAUCAUUUUUAAAGGAGUAGAAUUAUUUUAACAGUAUCGUGCACUGUACUCUCUAGGAUCUUCCAAUCAAAAGAGGCAAAGGGGAAAAUAAGUGAACUGAUUAUGAAACUGCGUAUUGGACAUUCUUACACAGGUCAUUUAACCAUUAUACUGUAGAAUGUGUGUAUGCAGGAUAAG